rnacentral:rRNA from 1 species
CCUACGGGGUGCAGCAGUGGGGAAUAUUGCACAAUGGGCGCAAGCCUGAUGCAGCCAUGCCGCGGGUGUGAAGGAGGCCUUCGGGUUGUAAAGCACUUUCAGCGGGGAGGAAGGCGGUGAGAUUAAUACUCUCACCGAUUGACGUUACCCGCAGAAGAAGCACCGGCUAACUCCGUGCCAGCAGCCGCGGUAAUACGGAGGGUGCAAGCGUUAAUCGGAAUGACUGGGCGUAAAGCGCACGCAGGCGGUUUGUUAAGUCAGAUGUGAAAUCCCCGAGCUUAACUUGGGAACUGCAUUUGAAACUGGCAAGCUAGAGUCUUGUAGAGGGGGGUAGAAUUCCAGGUGUAGCGGUGAAAUGCGUAGAGAUCUGGAGGAAUACCGGUGGCGAAGGCGGCCCCCUGGACAAAGACUGACGCUCAGGUGCGAAAGCGUGGGGAGCAAACAGGAUUAGAUACCCCCGUAGUC